AAUGAACGCUGGCGGCGUGCUUUACACAUGCAAGUUGAGCGAAGUCGUGUAGCAAUACAUAGUCGAGCGGCGAACGGGUGAGUAACGCGUGGAUAACCUGCCCCAAGGUGGGGAACAACCAGGGGGAAACUCUGGCUAAUACCGCAUAACACCGAGAGGUCAAAGGGGGCCGCAAGGCUCUCGCCAUUGGGAGGGGUCCGACGUUCGAUUAGCUAGUUGGUAGGGUAA
rnacentral:rRNA from 1 species